GUGCUUGCUUCAGCAGCACAUACACUAAAAUUGGAAUGAUACAGAGAAGAUUAGCAUGGCCCUGAUCAAGGAUGACUCGCAAAUUGGUGAAGCAUUCCACAUUUUU
ensembl:snRNA U6 U6 spliceosomal RNA